UUCAAAUGUCUGCCUUAUCAACUGUCGAUGGUAGGUUCUGCGCCUACCAUGGUUGUAACGGGUAACGGGGAAUCAGGGUUCGAUUCCGGAGAGGGAGCCUGAGAAACGGCUACCACAUCCAAGGAAGGCAGCAGGCGCGCAAAUUACCCACUCCCGGCACGGGGAGGUAGUGACGAAAAAUAACGAUACGGGACUCAUCCGAGGCCCCGUAAUCGGAAUGAGUACAAUCUAAACCCUUUAACGAGGAUCAAUUGGAGGGCAAGUCUGGUGCCAGCAGCCGCGGUAAUUCCAGCUCCAAUAGCGUAUAUUAAAGUUGUUGCGGUUAAAAAGCUCGUAGUCGAAUCUGUGUCCCGCGCCGCCGGUUCAUCGCACGCGGUGUUUAACUGGCGUGUCCGCGGGACGUCCUGCCGGUGGGCUUUACCGCCCGCGAGGGUGGCGGCCCAACUCAAUCCCACCGCGGUGCUCUUCACUGAGUGUCGAGGUGGGCCGGCACGUUUACUUUGAACAAAUUAGAGUGCUUAAAGCAGGCUAAAACUUCGCCUGAAUACCGUGUGCAUGGAAUAAUGGAAUAGGACCUCGGUUCUAUUUUGUUGGUUUUCGGAACCCCGAGGUAAUGAUUAAUAGGAACGGAUGGGGGCAUUCGUAUUGCGACGUUAGAGGUGAAAUUCUUGGAUCGUCGCAAGACGAACAGAAGCGAAAGCAUUUGCCAAAAACGUUUUCAUUGAUCAAGAACGAAAGUUAGAGGUUCGAAGGCGAUCAGAUACCGCCCUAGUUCUAACCAUAAACGAUGCCAGCUAGCGAUCCGCCGACGUUCCUUCGAUGACUCGGCGGGCAGCUUCCGGGAAACCAAAGCUUUUGGGUUCCGGGGGAAGUAUGGUUGCAAAGCUGAAACUUAAAGGAAUUGACGGAAGGGCACCACCAGGAGUGGAGCCUGCGGGCUUAAUUUGACUCAACACGGGAAACCUCACCAGGCCCGGACACCGGAAGGAUUGACAGAUUGAGAGCUCUUUCUUGAUUCGGUGGGUGGUGGUGCAUGGCCGUUCUUAGUUGGUGGAGCGAUUUGUCUGGUUAAUUCCGAUAACGAACGAGACUCUAGCCUGCUAAAUAGGCGUAUUUCCGACAUCUCAAAGGCCCGCCGGUCCGGCGUUCGCGUCGCGUCCGUGCGCGGUUUUUACUGUCGGCGUACACACAAUUCUUCUUAGAGGGACAGGCGGCUUCUAGCCGCACGAGAUUGAGCAAUAACAGGUCUGUGAUGCCCUUAGAUGUUCUGGGCCGCACGCGCGCUACACUGAAGGAAUCAGCGUGUCCUCCCUGGCCGAGAGGCCCGGGUAACCCGCUGAACCUCCUUCGUGCUAGGGAUUGGGGCUUGCAAUUAUUCCCCAUGAACGAGGAAUUCCCAGUAAGCGCGAGUCAUAAGCUCGCGUUGAUUACGUCCCUGCCCUUGUACACACCGCCCGUCGCUACUACGAUUGAA
rnacentral:rRNA from 1 species